AAGACCCCCAGGUGAGGAUGAACGGGGCUACCCUUAUCAGUGGAACUUUCGCCAACGGUGCUACUGACAACGUUACGAUUCUUGCUGAUAUAUCUGUGAAGAAUCCAAACGCUUUUACCUUCAGAUUUGAAAACGCCUGGACCGAUGUUUACUAUAACGGAGAGGAAAUAGGUGAUGGUGAAUCUCCACCGGGGAAAGCCAAGCCCAGAAGAACCAUAAGGGUCAACACCACCAUGGAGAUUAUGGCAAAGAAGCUUCUGGCGAUUCCAAAUUUGGAUACUGACCUAAAGGAUCAGGCUUUGAAUAUCAGCAGCUAUACCAGGAUUGAUGGUAAGGUCAAAAUACUAAACAUUUUUCCGAGGAAAGUUGUGGUUGAGAUGAAUUGCACAAUCACAUACAACAUCACCACUGGGUCGAUUAAAAAUGGUGACAAUUGUCUUGGAAACGUUGAUAUUUAGGUUGGUUUUGAUGUUAAUUCUUUGUGAAAUUUGUUAGGAUGAUGAUAGAAGUGGAAAAUAGCUAGUGUUUGUAGGUUGCUCAAUUUUCUGCAGUUUAAUUGUAUCUGAUUAUGGAUAUAUGAUUUGAGUUAAUCCUAUNUAAACCCUAGACCACUUACACGCACUGAUUCUUGAGUAAUUUUUUGGAAAAAAAAACUUGUCACCUUUAAAAAUAUACUAAUUUUUUAGACGAAAUAGAAAAAAAGAUUAAUAUAUAUAUAUAUAUAUAUAUAUAUAUAUAUAUAUAUAUAUAUAAAUAUAAGAUAACUGUGAUUUCAAGUUUAUAUUUUGAUGGAAAUAUCACAUUUGUUCCUUUUUUAUCUAUUUGUAAGAUUUUUUUGGUACAUUCUAUUGUAAGUUUAGAACAUGUAUGUGAUAACUAGUGUAAAAUUAAUGGUUACCCUCCUAGGUAUAAAGGGAAAACAAUUGACAAUUAUCAUAAAAAAUAAGUUAAAGAAUGCAUAUAAAAAGUAAAUAUUUUAAAUAUGUUUUAAUUUUAUUUAUUGCAUUUAUUUUAAAUGUAAUUUUCUUUUAUAAUUUUAAAUUAAAAAUGACUUUUUCGUUUUAAUGGUAUUUCAAUUUUGUUUAUUUUAAAUUCUUUAUAACUGACGAACAUAUUUUAUUAAUAAGCACAACACUAAAUUGGGCGAGUAGCAUAAAUUUUCUUAAAUCAAUAAAUGCAUAUAUUUUUAUAAUUUAAUACGGAAAUGAUAUUAAAGCUUAUAUUGGCUUAACGAAUGAGAGUGAAAUUAUCUUAAAAAUUUAACGAUUGUACAUAAAAAGUUAAAGUGCAGAAAAAAAAAAAAAUCUGUUAGAAAUAAAAAUAUAUCAGAAACAUAAUAAAUUUAUGUUCGCUGAUAGUUCGGUACAUGAUUUCCAGUUUUACUUAUUGAUGCUUAUAUGAUUUCCAGUUUUACUUUCUGAUUCUUACAGACAAUUGCUGGGGCCAUUGUGAUUGGUAUUAUACUUCAUGCCGGAGAUCACCUUGCUUGUGAUUUUCCAAGACUUGUAAGUACGUCUGAAGACAAUUAUGAGAAGUAUUUGAAAGGUGUAUUUGGUGAUAAUAAACCCAGUUACGGAGACCUGGCUAAAGGCGUCGAGGGUGUGACUGGAAUUUUGAUGGUGAUUCUUAUGAUAAUAGCAUUUACACUUGCAACCAAAUGGUUCCGGAGAAAUCUCAUUAAGCUGCCUAAACCAUUUAGUAGGCUCACUGGCUUCAAUGCCUUCUGGUAUUCACAUCAUCUGUUUGUCAUCGUAUACGUCCUUCUUAUAAUCCACGGAACAAAACUUUACCUCGUGCAUAAAUGGUACCUUAAAACGGUAUACAUAUUUCAAUUAUUUAGGAUAUCUUUCAAAUGCUUUGUUUACCUGUAAUUAGUGACUUACGUUCUGGUUUCCGUUUGCAGACAUGGAUGUAUCUUGCGGUUCCAGUUUUACUUUAUACGUCCGAAAGAAUACUCAGACUAUUUCGUUCUGGCCUGUAUACAGUUCGUCUUGGAAAGGUUAGCUGAUUAAGUGGACCAAUAGUUAGGCUCUAAAUUUUCGACUUCAUAACAAACAUGGUUUUAUUACUUGUCUCAACUACUAUUAAGUGCAAUUGGCCUGGGCUAAUUGUGAGCAUCCAGACUCUAGAGUCAUAAAAAGUAAACUAAAAACUGCCAGGAACUUCCAUAUCUAAAAAACUACUCUAACUCUAUAACUUCAUAUAAAUUAGUGCCAAAUAUAAAUUGAACAGCAUGCUAACUUCGUUUUCUCCCUUUUUCUUUUUCUUUUUUAAAAAAUGGAAAAUAUUCAGGUUGCCAUAUAUCCUGGAAAUGUUCUCACAUUGCAAAUGUCUAAGCCUCCUCAAUUUCGUUACAAGAGCGGACAAUACAUGUUUGUGCAGUGUCCUGCUGUUUCUCCGUUUGAAUGGUGAGUUGCAUUUCAAUUUUAAACAAAAAUAUGUUUCAUGUAGCGGUUUUACGAUUUACAUUAUGCUUCAUAAUUGAGACACUGUGUACUGUUUUGAACAAAGAAAUAUGGAAAACGAUACGAAGUUUGGAAAAUGAACUUUCCUCUGCAUUUUUACUAUUCAUAAAACAGAGAUCGAACCGGUAGUACUUUUGCCCCUGAUGAUCAGACAUAUUGAAUAAGAAAAGAAGGGAAAGUAAACUGAUAUUGCAGUUUAUGAGCUGUUAGAAGUCUCGAUUUUGUUUCAGAGUGAAACUUGUGAAAUUUUUACUCAACAAGUAUCGGUAUCUAACAGUAACAUGGGACAAUAUUUUGUGUCAGGCAUCCGUUCUCUAUUACCUCAGCCCCUGGCGACGACUACCUGAGUGUUCAUAUUCGGCAACUGGGUGAUUGGACACAGGAGCUUAAAAGGGUGUUCUCUGAGGCCUGUGAGCCUCCUGUAUCUGGGAAGAGUGGGCUUCUCAGGGCUGAUGAAACCACGAAGAAAAGGUAUAUGUGGCACUUGCCAUUUUCUGUUGUUGCUUUCUUAUCUUUGGUCCUGGGAAAGUAGGGGAAAAUAAUUUAUACAUGAUUCCAAGCCAAAACUUGUUAACCAUUGAUGCAGUUUGCCGAAGUUAAAGAUCGAUGGACCUUACGGUGCACCGGCACAAGAUUAUAAAAAAUAUGAUGUUUUGUUACUAGUCGGUCUCGGGAUAGGAGCAACACCUUUCAUCAGCAUUCUAAAAGAUCUUCUCAACAACAUCAUCAAAAUGGAGGAAAUGGCGGUGAGUUCCAGCGGUUCAUUGUAUUAGUUAAUGAACAUUAAGACAGUAAAGUAGUUAAUAUUCAUGUUAUUCAUAGCUUAACUCUGGCGUGUUAUGUGUCGCAUACAAAUUGUCAUGCUCAUGAAUAUUAUUUGAACAUCUGUAUGCAAAUUUAGUACCACGAAAUAUAACUAUCUGGGUUACUUUUAUUCAGGAUUCAAUCUCUGAUAUAAGUAGAGGUUCAGACCUUAGUGUUGGGAGUACUACAGACUCACCAUCUCUUAAUAAAAUUGCGCCAAAACGGAAGAAAACACUUAAGACCACCAACGCUUAUUUUUACUGGGUUACAAGAGAGCAAGGUUCUUUUGAUUGGUUCAAAGGAGUCAUGAAUGAAGUAGCAGAGCUUGAUCAAAGGGUAUUUAGUUUCUGCAGAAAAUUUAUUUCUUAUUAUACUUCCUCCCGAAGAACUUUUAGUAUUCCUUGUCCCUGCCACAAAGAUGAAUAAUGUUUUUUUCGCAAUGGCUAAUGUUGAACAUCAAAUUUGGACUUCAGGGUGUCAUUGAGAUGCACAACUACUUGACCAGCGUAUACGAGGAAGGGGAUGCUAGAUCUGCCCUCAUCACCAUGGUACAAGCACUCAACCAUGCCAAAAACGGAGUUGACAUUGUUUCUGGGACCAGAGUAAGCCUUCGCGUUUCAUUGUUUUUAUGUAUUAUUCGCUAUGUUUAGCAUUUAGCCCCUUUUUAAUGCCAUAAUCGGAGUGAGUAAAUUUAAAACCUCGCUUACUUCUUUGAAUUCCUACUACCAGGUGCGAACUCAUUUUGCUAGGCCCAACUGGAAGAAGGUUUUCAAUAAAAUGUGCUCCAAGCACUAUAAUGGAAGAAUAGGUUAGUUAGUCUCAAUCAAGCGUAUUUUGGUAGUCGGUAGACUUUUUUUUAACCCCCUUUUUUCAAUGUCAUCAUUUGAACACGUCAAGUAAGUCUUAGAUAUUACAAAAUUUUAUUUAUAUGUCUCACUUUUUUAUCUUUUUUUUUUAUACACUUAUCUCAAAAUUAUUCUUUCAUUCUUCCUUUUAUUUUCUCCCUUUACUGACAUUAUGGCUAUCAUGAUUCGGAUCAGGGGUAUUUUAUUGUGGUGCACCAGUUUUGGCCAAAGAACUGAGCAAGCUCUGCUUCGAGUUCAAUGAAAAGGGUCCAACAAAAUUUGAGUUCCACAAGGAGCACUUUUAAAGAAUUUGGGCUGAGCACUCCCAAAUGUACUAAAAGUUAACAGGGUCAUCUCAACUUAAACCCGUCAUUUUAGUAACUUGGCGUGGUCAUAUUAUAUGAUUAAUAUUCAACAAGUAAAACCUUUUUGUAUAGAUGUGAAGCAUUGUACAUAGAGCCAGCAAGAUUGCUUGGCAUUUCAGUAUACAUGUGGCCUCAUAACUAAAGAGAUAAGCGCAGUGGUACUGUCCACCACCUAGAGUGCGAUACAACUACAUUGGAGAUGCUGACCUGAUCGUGGGAGCCACAUCAACUGUUGGCAGAUAGAUCCACAGUGAAUUGGAUAUGGACAUUUUUGAAAAAGAUAAUAGAAGGUAAAGGGACUAAAGAAUGUGGCUGGGAUACCUUUUCAAGAGCAACUUUCUCAUUUUUCCUUCCAGGGGAUUCCAGGAAUUCUUGAGAACUCAGAGUGAGGCAAAUGAAUCACCUCUACUUCUGCUUGGGUUCUAACGGGGAGAAGGGGAUUAUACAUAUCUAUGUAAAUGAAACCGGUAUAGUGUUUUCCUUUUUCAAAGUGAUCAAUAGUUUUAACCUUUAUUUAUUUAUUUGAUUAUAUACAUGAAGUAAAACUAUUGGUUUGUGAACACGACUUAAACUAUUGAGCCACGAUGAUAUUUUCUGGUGCUCAUUUAGUCAAUGCAUAUUAAAAUUAUCUGCGCAGAGUUUACGAACCAGAUCAGGAGUAUAUUAAUAUCAAAUUCUUCAGUAAGGUUCCAUUUGGGUCAUGUUUUCGGCAAAGACUUUGAAUAUGAUUUAAACACGUCCUCAAUAAAUGCUACUCGAAUCCUCGUUUGGAUGCAAAGGAUGUGCGUGAAAUAAACUCAAGAUGCUUAAUCUCUUCUGCAUAAUGGAGAAGGGGUUUGUUCAAUGUCAGCUGUAAUGAAAUUGUAAAUACACAACUGUAUGCGCCAUUUGAAAUAUACAAAAUUUUACAUUACAAAUUACUAUUUUUUCUCUUGGUUGUUGAUUUUCUGACCUGCAUGUCAGAAUUUAUGAAAAUAAGAAAAAAAAUAUUAAACACGUUACUAAAGUUCUUUGUGAUAUUAUUAAUCUUAUUAUAUAUUGUGGAGCAAUUUAGAGCAGAUGGCUCGGCGCAUAGAGAGGAUCUAGAGUAUGAAUACAUUUUUAUUUAGAUCAAACAUCCGUAUGAUACACUAAAUGCACAACUGAUAAAAGUACGUCUUGUGUAAAAUGCAAGCCCAAAGGGCUCAAAGGGUUGAGUUCCACCGUUUUUGUGAAAUGGAAGAAGGAUUUAUGAUAUCUCUUUGACCGAUUCACCGUGUAAGGGAAACGAUAUGGAUAAAAUGGUGGGGACUAUCAACAUUAGAAUCAUGUGGGAUAAGUUUGAUGACUUGAAUAUUAAUUAACUUCCCCAUCAAAGAGUUAAAAUUAUUUUCCAAAAGAAAAGCUGGGUCUUCAUGACCAAAUCAAAACAUAUUUAAUUGCCACAUUUCUCAACGGCGAAAAUCGAAAAGGUAGUGGAAUGAAACUGGCCUAAUUUUUUAGUUUGUUACAACGCAUUUGCUGAUCCAAUACUCUGCACUGCUGCAUUUCAUAUUCCUUCAGGCCGGAUGUGUCUUUUCCCUCACUCCUAUUUCUAGAAUCCUUCAAAGUCACUACUCUUGAAUCAUCAUCUCAAUUUUUUAGUCCAUAAAUCAAGUACAUUUAUCAUUCUUUGCCUUUAAUUUAAGUAACUUCCCAUUUAGUCAUCGGUCAAGCCGUGCAAAUACUGGAAACGCGUUCAGGAAAACAUCAACCCAUAAUUCCUUAAUUCUCAAUACCUCAAGGUCAAGACAAAUAACCUUUUUUUCUUCUUUUUACCGUUUCUGAUCAAUACAAGAUUUUCAACCAAAAACUUCAAAUUAAUUGCACAAAAAUACUAAUAUUUAUUCAUGUGGUCACUCUCUUAUCAUAUGUGUGGAGAUCGAAAACCACCAACAUCUCAUCAUAUAUAUAUAUGUAUACCUGAACAACAAGAUUUUAUUAGUAUUCAAGACAAAACAAAAAAUGUUAUAUUUAAUAACUAAAUUUAUCAUGUCAAUUACAUCGCAGGUGCAGGAGACAGAGUUGUCGCUAUCAACGUGGAAUCAACCAUUUGAAGACAUUUCAUAUUGGAAAUUGAUCUAAGUACCCACCACCCAUUUGCUAGUAAGCCAUAAUGUAUAGUUUCAAGAAGACCAUCUCAUACUAAGUUAAAUUCCCAGUACCAUCACAAAUCAGCAUGGCUCAGCAGAGUCCUGAUCAGCAGAUCAAGCCCUUGGCUCCAUUCAUAUCAUCAUCCCACUUCAACUCACAAGAAGAUCAAGACUACGCAUCCACACACAGAAAAAACAUUCGAAUAAGAAAGUUUAUCCAGUGCUGCGGUUGUGCCACUGCAAUUGCUGUGCUACUUGUGGUCAUAGUACUGGUCUUGGGCUUCACCGUUUACAAUGUCAAAGACCCCCAGGUGAGGAUGAACGGGGCUACCCUUAUCAGUGGAACUUUCGCCAACGGUGCUACUGACAACGUUACGAUUCUUGCUGAUAUAUCUGUGAAGAAUCCAAACGCUUUUACCUUCAGAUUUGAAAACGCCUGGACCGAUGUUUACUAUAACGGAGAGGAAAUAGGUGAUGGUGAAUCUCCACCGGGGAAAGCCAAGCCCAGAAGAACCAUAAGGGUCAACACCACCAUGGAG
rnacentral:lncRNA from 1 species